rnacentral:lncRNA from 1 species
AAACCUUGUUCUCCCUUUUAUGCGUAAGUUGUGACGGAUCUGAAAGAUUUUAGUCAUCCAAAUGGCCAAAUCUGACGUUUCACGUUAAUGAUGUAACAAUCAAUUAGUAGCAUCCAGUUAACUACAAUCAAUCCCAUCAAUUUAGUAAUUUAUCUCACAAAUAAUUUUCAUGCAUUAGCACGUUCAUCGUACAUAGUUACGAUGUAAAAGUAGUAGCCAAUAAACAAUAUAUGAUUACAUUGUUUUUACAAACCAGUGAGUAAAUAGCCAUCUUGUGAAAGAUUCAUUCACUCGGCUAUCCCCAUCUUCUCCAACAAAGAGGGAUGCACAGGUGGAAAAUCUUUGUAAGGGUCCACGAACCCAUUCAUCCUGAUAAAAAAAUUCAUCUUCAACAAGGAGAGACCGGGCAACAGUAAUCUCCACCUCGGAGCCACUGACGACACACGUGUGUUGACUUGUGUUGCAUGCUUGAGGUUCCAUGAAGAACCUUGCACGGCAAUUUCGCCGGACCUUGUGUAUGUUAGAGUGAUCUCCACCGUGUGGGCCCAACGGCCAACCGGGUCCAGAUCUGACGCGUCCUGAUCGGGGGCACCCAACCCAAUAUGGUUGGCGGGCUCCUGUCGCACUGCGCUAUAUAAAGAGGUGGGGGGUCGGGACACGCACUACGAGAUUCGUCUGCGUUGCCACCAACCCCACCGAACACACCCUACCGAUCUAGGGCUUUGCGUAGAGGCGAUGGGAACCACAACCACCGCCGUCGCCACCUAGCCCACGCCACCGCUCGUCUCUGCCAUAGCCCUGGCCGCACCGUCGGGAUCUUUUAGCCAAGGCGAAGGUGCAUAUUCCUCUCUCGAUCUCUCUCCCUUUAUCCCAUACCCGAACCGAAUCCAUUCACAGAAAUAGCAAUCUACCGGAAGUUCUACAUCUAGAUGAUCCUAUAGUAUUAACAUUGGUAUCAAAGCCAUCUAGUUUGGUAGAUCCGUUCGGUAGAAAGAGAAAGAAAGAAAAAGAAAAGAAAGAAAGAAAAAAGAAAAGCAAACCCUAACAGAGGCUUACCUGAAAAGAAGGCGCCGCCGGUCGCGCCGACGGAUCCCACUGCUCGGCCGCCGGUCGUCGGGAAAGGGCGCCGCCGCCGGUCACUUG